rnacentral:rRNA from 1 species
GUGAGACAGUUCGGUCCCUAUCCGUCGUGGGCGUAGGAAAUUUGAGAGGAGCUGUCCUUAGUACGAGAGGACCGGGAUGGACAUACCUCUGGUGUACCAGUUGUCGUGCCAACGGCAUAGCUGGGUAGCUAUGUGUGGACGGGAUAAGUGCUGAAAGCAUCUAAGCAUGAAGCCCCCCUCAAGAUGAGAUUUCCCAACUUCGGUUAUAAGAUCCCUCAAAGAUGAUGAGGUUAAUAGGUUCGAGGUGGAAGCAUGGUGACA